AUGUUUUUAUUACAAAAAUAGACCAUACUUAUUGAGCAUAUUUGGGUAAUUUUGGUUAAUACAAACUUAUGGAACUGAAAACAUAGACUCAGAUUUAGAAAUUUACCACAUUAAAUCAUUAAAUCAAAUUCACAAUCAUUGGGAAGUAAACAAAGCCACUGCCUUGGAAACAGUUAUAUUUAUAUAACUCUUUGAUAUCCCAAUCAGUUCUAGACGUACAUAGAGAUACGCAGAUAUAGAUCUAGAUGUAAGUUAGUCUGUUCAGUGCCUGCUUCCUGCUCCCUACUAAUCAGUCUCAGUGUAGAAAGGGUAACAAACAGAAAUCCAUGUCUGAUAAAAUAUGCCAUGUCCUCUCUCAAAGUAAAGUUACAAAAAGGUUAAUUUAGACCGGAUUUGCAGGAGUGAUUAACAUGAAUUGACAUCAGUGUGGUCAGGAAUGGUGUAUGGAAAUCAAACUGUCAGCAAGGUUCCCCAGUUAUAAAUUACAUCAUGCCUACAGCAAAAUUUUGGAGAUAAAUCAUAAAUUUUGCCUUCACGAUUUCCCUUGUGGCAGCAGGUUAAGGAUCCAACAUUGUCACUGCAGCAGCUAAGGUUGUUGCUGUGGUUUGGCUUUGAAACCUGGCCCGGGAACUUCCAUAUGCCAUGGGCACAGCCCCCCACCUUCAAAGAGAGAGAGAGAGGAAGAGAAUAUUGCCUUCAGUUUUGUACACAAUAGUACUUUGAAGGGAAAAAUCAAAUAUGACUAAUAAGAAUAAAUAUGAUUUAACAACAGGAUAUAACAGAAGUGAAUCAAAUGUUUCUGUCCCUAGGUAAUUAAAUAUAAGGUUAGGAUUAUGUUCAACAAUAAGUGCAGAAAACCAACAGUGGCUUAAACCUAGAGAGAUUUAUUUGUCUCAGGCAACAAGAGGCCUAAAGAUAGGCAAUCCAGAGUUUAAAAAGUGGCUCAGUUAACCCUUUAGAGAAGGUUCUUUCCAUCUCUUCCUACCACAUCAUUAGCAAAUAUAUCUUCACCUUCAUACUUCUGAUCUCAUGGUUGCAAGAUGGCUGCUCUACCCUGACUCUCACAUCCGCCUUCCAGAUAGGAACAAGGACGAAGAGGAAAGAAGAAACUAGUCAUACCUGUUUCAGAGAACAGAGGCUUUCCCAACAUCCUUGGCUGACUUCCACUUACUCUUUGUUCAGAACUGUGCUCCCUACUAAUCAGCUACAAGAGAGUCUGGUAGCACAUUGUCAAUUCA
rnacentral:lncRNA from 1 species